CGGCAGCCCGAGUGGUGAUCACUAUUAUUGGGUCUAAAGGGUCCGUAGCCGGUUUGAUCAGUCUUUUGGGGAAUCUGACAGCUUAACUGUUAGGCUUCCAAAGGAUACUGUCAGACUUGGGACCGGGAGAGGUAAGAGGUACUACAGGGGUAGGAGUGAAAUCUUGUAAUCCCUGUGGGACCACCAGUGGCGAAGGCGUCUUACCAGAACGGGUCCGACGGUGAGGGAUGAAAGCUGGGGGAGCAAACCGGAUUAGAUACCCGAGUAGUCC
rnacentral:rRNA from 1 species